CUUGUACUCCCUCUGUCCGAAAAUACUUGUCAUUGAAAUGGAUGUAUCUAGAUGUAUUUUAGUUCUAGACACAUCCAUUUUGAUGACAAGUAAUUCCGGAUGGAGGGAGUACUUG
rnacentral:pre_miRNA from 1 species